CAGUGUGAGGGAGUGGACCGGUGUUGACCUCUUUGGUGGAUUCAAGAAGGGACACAUAACAUAUAUGCCAUCAACAAUUUAUCUGAAUUGCUGUCUAGGUAACAGAGCCCCCACCCUCACCGUCCUGCCCCCUUCUAGUGAGGAGCUGUCCAGUACAACAACAGUCACACUGACGUGUCUGGCCAACAAGGGCUUCCCCUCAGACUGGACCAUGAGCUGGAAAGUGGACGGGACCAGCAAGAAUCAGGAGGCCAGUCCCGGGGUCCUGGAGAAGGACAGCCUGUACAGCUGGAGCUGGUUCCUCUGCUUUGACUGUUCUGAGAUCAGAUGUUCUCUGUAUUAUUGAUCACUGACAUGUAGACUAACAGAGGGUUUUGCUUGAGUUCAUGUUCCAAUCCUCUCUGUAGACUGAGGUUGUAUCAGUGCUAGAUUUGAUGUGUUCUGCUUUAUUACUAUUAGAUACUGUAGGAAUGU